AUUGAACGCUGGCGGCAUGCUUUACACAUGCAAGUCGAACGGUAACAGGCCGCAAGGUGCUGACGAGUGGCGAACGGGUGAGUAAUGCAUCGGAACGUGCCCAGUCGUGGGGGAUAACGCAGCGAAAGCUGCGCUAAUACCGCAUACGAUCUAUGGAUGAAAGCGGGGGACCGUAAGGCCUCGCGCGAUUGGAGCGGCCGAUGUCAGAUUAGGUAGUUGGUGGGGCAAAGGCUCACCAAGCCAACGAUCUGUAGCUGGUCUGAGAGGACGACCAGCAACACUGGGACUGAGACACGGCCCAGACUCCUACGGGAGGCAGCAGUGGGGAAUUUUGGACAAUGGGCGCAAGCCUGAUCCAGCAAUGCCGCGUGCAGGAAGAAGGCCUUCGGGUUGUAAACUGCUUUUGUACGGAACGAAACGGUUCGGGUUAAUACCCUGGGCUAAUGACGGUACCGUAAGAAUAAGCACCGGCUAACUACGUGCCAGCCGCCGCCGUAAAAC
rnacentral:rRNA from 1 species